AAAUUGAAGAGUUUGAUCAUGGCUCAGAUUGAACGCUGGCGGCAGGCCUAACACAUGCAAGUCGAACGGUAACAGGAAGAAGCUUGCUUCUUUGCUGACGAGUGGCGGACGGGUGAGUAAUAUCUGGGAAACUGCCUGAUGGAGGGGGAUAACUACUGGAAACGGUAGCUAAUA
rnacentral:rRNA from 1 species